UGGAGCAAGAUUCCAGAAUAUAUAGUGAACUAUAUUUCAACAGCUGCUUUAGAGCACUGCAGCAGAGAGAAGAAAGAAAUGAAUUUGUGACAACUACUCCUUCUUUCUGCCUGUUUCUCUCAUCACCUUAGAAUACCGAACCUGGUGAGAAACUUGGAGCAAUUGAUGCAACUAAUGGUUGACCACUCCAGAGUCACCCACAAUUCUAUGACAAUGGAGUCAAAUGUAGACAGGACCAGAAACUUUUUCAGAUGGUCCAGGGAAAAGGGGAAUUGCCUGUACGAUGUUCAAACACCCCAAGAAAUUCCCAUGUAAUCAGUACACCAGGACACCCCCACGCUCCGAAUGCACAGAAUGUUCAACCUCAGGCAAUGAAGAAACCAGAAGAUCUGGGCAACAAUGUCCCCAGAUUGGCUCAACAGGCAAAGGGAAAAUGACAUCUGGAGAAUACUUUGUGAACCCAUUCCUGUUCAUUCACUAAGGCUGUAAUAUUGUUUGAAUCAGUCAAAACUCAUCAAAAAUUUAAUUCUCUGCUUUUGA